ensembl:snRNA U6 U6 spliceosomal RNA
GUGCUCACUUCAGCAGCACAUGUACUAAAAUUGGAACAAUACAGAGAAAAUUAGCAUGGCCCCUGAGCAAGGAUGACACGCAAAUUCGUUAAGUGUUCCAUAUUUUU